rnacentral:rRNA from 1 species
AUGAAGGUGAAGGAGGUAUAUUUGGCAGGGAGAGAGGUGAUUCUGAAUUAUGGGAAUAUUGCUAGAAUGUGGGGUGACACAACCAGGGGUGAAGCUCCUCUGCGAACCCAAUCCCCUGCUUUAUUCAGUAUUUGUAACCACCAGGAGAUCACGGUUGCUGACUUCAAAAAAUUUGAAGGCAAUGAUCUCUUUAGAAGACACCUGCAUCCUCCCCUUACAGAUCAGUGGAAUGAUCUUGUUAAGGUGGUGAAUUCCUGGCCCUUAUCUGCUGAAUCUGACCAAAUU